AAAUUGAAGAGUUUGAUCAUGGCUCAGAUUGAACGCUGGCGGCAGGCCUAACACAUGCAAGUCGAACGGUAACAGGAAGCAGCUUGCUGCUUCGCUGACAAGUGGCGGACGGGUGAGUAAUGUCUGGGAAACUGCCUGAUGGAGGGGGAUAACUACUGGAAACGGUGGCUAAUACCGCAUGACGUCGCAAGACCAAAGAGGGGGACCUUCGGGCCUCUUGCCAUCAGAUGUGCCCAGAUGGGAUUAGCUUGUUGGUGAGGUAACGGCUCACC
rnacentral:rRNA from 1 species